rnacentral:tRNA from 3 species
GCGGGAGUAGCUCAGUGGUAGAGCAUCAGCUUCCCAAGCUGAGGGUCGCGGGUUCGACCCCCGUUUCCCGCUCAA